ensembl:piRNA 21ur-637 ncRNA
UACGUGUUGAGAACUGUUGUG